ACGGUAGAGUAGUCACCACUGUCAAGGAAAUAAAGGUUGAGCACUGAUUUGUUGGCCAGCAAGGUUCCUUCAACUCCACCAACUUCCAGGUUAUAAUUUCCGUAGCCGUCGAUCUCUACCCCUUGUGGAUUGAAGCGCGAAAGGGUGUUCUUCAUGCCUACAAGGUGUCGCAUCACGCCCUCACGUGACAGGGUGCUCUCCUGGUCAUGGUUACCCAUCACAGCAGCCCAGGGCAGUCUCAUGGCAAUGGCAGGAGCAAUCGCCGCAUCCAUCGAUUUGGCCGCGUCGGUUGAGUCCGGGCCAUAGAUGUUG